UACAGAGGUGGCAAGCGUUGUUCGGAAUUACUGGGCGUAAAGGGCGCGUAGGCGGUUCGUUAAGUCCGGUGUGAAAUCCCCCGGCUCAACUGCGGGCUUGCAGCCGAUACGGGCAGGCUAGAGUUCGGUAGGGGAGACUGGAAUUCCUGGUGUAGCGGUGAAAUGCGCAGAUAUCAGGAGGAACACCGGUGGCGAAGGCGGGUCUCUGGGCCGAUACUGACGCUGAGGAGCGAAAGCGUGGGGAGCGAACAGG
rnacentral:rRNA from 1 species